rnacentral:misc_RNA from 1 species
AGGCUGAUUUCCCUCGAACUAAAUAAGAACAAUUUGAAAACAGUUCAAAAUUCACCAGACAUUUUCUCAUCAAUGACGUCCUUGUUGUAUCUUUCAUUGGCUGAUAACGGCUGUAGUAUAAUGCCAUUGUCGUCAUUCAAACACUUGCAAUCACUGAAAUACUUGUUACUUGAUGGCAAUAAUCUUGGAGAUCUAAUUGGAAGUGACAAUUCUGGGACUUUGUUUGCUGGAUUACACAAACUAGAAACACUUAGUCUUUCAAAGAAUUUCCUCCACAACCUACCAACAUCGAUGUUUAGAGAUCUUAGCUCCUUAAAAACAUUAACAAUGCAGGGCAAUAGAAUUUCUGGGUGGAACAAUGGUUUAUUCAAACAAACUUCUGCGCUCAAAACCUUAGAUCUUGGUGACAAUUCUAUAUCGUUGGUGAAUUCAACCUCCUUGGAAGAUCUUUCACAAAACCUAAAUUUUCAGAUGCUGAACCUGAGCAACAAUCCAUUUGCAUGCACUUGCGACCUUCGAUGGUUCCGAGAUUGGGUAAACCAAACCAAGGUGAAUAUUGCAAAUGUCGAAAAUUACGUGUGCAAUUCCCCAGAUGCAUGGAAGGGGAAACCUUUCUUGUCAUUUGAUCGGACUAAAAUUAACUGUGUUUGGUUUAACCUGUAUUUUGUGAUCGGGGUUAGCGUGGCAUCUGCUGUUGCUAUGCUUAUCAUCUGUGUCUUCAUCUAUAGAAAGCGAUGGUGGAUUCUCUAUCGGUGUUACCGUCUGAAAAACUCCUGCAUGGCUCCACGAAGCAGAGCUGGUUAUCAGCCAAUUAAUAGUGAACAUGGAUGGAAAUAUGACGCCUAUCUAUCGUAUGCUGAUGAAGAUUACCAGUGGAUCCUCGAAAACUUACUCCCAGGUAUAGACUCCGGAGAGCUGUCACCGGGAGAAACAUUUAAUGGGGAGUUUAGGUUGUAUUUUAACGACAGGGACUCUGUUCCUGGAAGCAGUAUGAUUUCCAACAUCUCAGACAACAUUGAAAUGAGCAGAAAAGUCAUCAUCGUCUUGACGAAGAAAUAUCUUUCUAGUGCUCAGCACACAUUUGAAAUUGAUCUUGCUGUUAUGUUGAAAUUAAAAGACAUCAUUGAUGAUAUCAUUGUGAUUAAUGUUCUUGGUGUUCCAUAUCAAUCCAUUCCAAAAUCGCUGCAAAGGAAAGUGUCUCGAGACGAAUUUCUACUAUGGGAAGAGGAAGUCAAUGCCAGAAGAGUAUUUAAACAGAGAUUAAUAGAAGCACUGACGAGUAAACGGAAAACGAGGGAAGUCAUUGUUUAAAAAACUUACUCACUGGUUGUCAACUAAGGGCAAUUAUUUUUAUAUUUAUGGUUUGAAAUAGACUGUGAUAUUGACAUUGGUGCCAAUGAAGUACUAAGUUGGAAUAUUCUUCUUUAUUGUUUGUGUGCUUUUUUUCAUAUACUCAUAUGCUGUUUAGCAUUAUAAAAAGACAAACAUGUACCUGCUUGCAUUAUAGAAUAAAAUAAAGUUGUUAUGUCU